rnacentral:rRNA from 1 species
CAAUAGCGUAUAUUAAAGUUGUUGCAGUUAAAAAGCUCGUAGUUGGAUUUCUGGUGGGAGCGAUCGGUCUGGCGCUUAGCGCGAGUACUUGCAUCGUCUCCGGCCAUCCUUGGGGAAAGUCUGUCUGGCAUUAAGUUGUCGGGCAGAGGAUCCUCAUCGUUUACUGUGAAAAAUUAGAGUGUUCAAAGCAGGCUUAUGCCGUUGAAUAUAUUAGCAUGGAAUAAUAAGAUAGGACUUUGGUACUAUUUUGUUGGUUUGCGCACCAAAGUAAUGAUUAAUAGGGACAGUUGGGGGUAUUCGUAUUCCGUUGUCAGAGGUGAAAUUCUUGGAUUUACGGAAGACGAACUACUGCGAAAGCAUUUACCAAGGAUGUUUUCAUUAA